rnacentral:rRNA from 1 species
CCCGCUGAACUUAAGCAUAUCAAUAAGCGGAGGAAAAGAAACUAACAAGGAUUCCCCUAGUAACUGCGAGUGAAGCGGGAAGAGCUCAAAUUUGAAAUCUGGCAGUUGUUGACUGUCCGAGUUGUAAUCUAGAGAAGUGUUACCAGUGCAGGACCGUGUACAAGUCUCCUGGAAUGGGGCAUCAUAGAGGGUGAGAAUCCCGUCUUUGGCACGGACUACCUGUACAUCAUGGUGCGCUCUCAAAGAGUCGAGUUGUUUGGGAAUGCAGCUCAAAAUGGGUGGUAAAUGCCAUCUAAAGCUAAAUAUUGGCGAGAGACCGAUAGCGAACAAGUACCGUGAGGGAAAGAUGAAAAGAACUUUGGAAAGAGAGUUAAACAGUACGUGAAAUUGCUGAAAGGGAAACGCUUGAAGUCAGUCACGUUGGCUAGAAAUCAACCUUGCUUUUGCUUGGUGCACUUUCUGGUUCGAUGGGUCAGCAUCAAUUUUGACUGUGGAAAAAAGGUCAAGGGAAUGUGGCAUCUUCGGAUGUGUUAUAGCCCUUGGUCACAUACAAUGGUUGGGAUUGAGGAACUCAGCACGCCGCAAGGCCGGGUUUUAAACCACGUACGUGCUUAGGAUGCUGGCAAUAUGGCUUUAAUCGACCCGUCUUGAAACACGG